AGCCUUGCGCAGUGCAAGUAUUGUAGCCAGUGAGGUCUAUCUGAGCUGUGGUUAUUGCUAAUUGAAAACUUUUCCCAAUAUUCGACCAUAAUGACUUGAAACAUAGUCAGCACUGGCAAUUUUUGACAAUCUCUAUGGAGA
rnacentral:snRNA from 1 species